rnacentral:rRNA from 1 species
GCCUACCAUGGUGAUAACGGGUAACGGGGAAUCAGGGUUCGAUUCCGGAGAGGGAGCCUGAGAAACGGCUACCACAUCCAAGGAAGGCAGCAGGCGCGAAAAUUACCCACUCCCGGCACGGGGAGGUUGUGACGAAAAAUACGAAUACGGGACUCAAUCGAGGCUCCGUAAUUCGAAUGAGUGCAAUCUAAAUCCUUGAACGAGGACCAAUUGGAGGGCAAGUCUGGUGCCAGCAGCCGCGGUAACUCCAGCUCCAAAAGCGUAUAUUAAAGUUGCUGCAGUUAAAAAGCUCGUAGUUGGAUCUGGGUCGUGCGUUCACAUGUCGUUGUUUGGUUCUGGCUUCGGUCAGUUUCGAACGAUGAUGAGGUGGUCGCGCAGCCUUUCAGCCGUGUCUGCGUGAGCAGGUGUUGGCUGGCCGGUGGGCUUGCUUGCUGGCCAGUUGGCAUGUUUCCUGAUGCCUUUAAACGGGUGUCGGGGGCGUACGGCACUUUUACUUUGAACAAAUUUGAGUGCUCAAAGCAGGCCCAUGUGCCUGAAAAGUCUUGCAUGGAAUAAUGGAAUAGGACUUCGGUUCUAUUUUGUUGGUUUCCGGAUCCGAAGUAAUGGUUAAGAGGAACAGACGGGGGCAUUUGUAUGGUGGCGUGAGAGGUGAAAUUCUAUGAUCGUCGCCAGACAAACUACAGCGAAAGCAUUUGCCAAGAAUGUUUUCAUUGAUCAGGAGCGAAAGUCAGAGUUUCGAAGACGAUCAGAUACCGUCCUAGUUCUGACCAUAAACGAUGCCAACUGACG